rnacentral:lncRNA from 1 species
GUCUGUUUUAUUUAUGUUUUUUGUAUCCUAUCUUUAUAGUAGGAGACUUGGGAGUGCUCUCCUGUAGGAUCCAAGACUUCUCAUCUUUCCGAUGCGAACUGAAUUAUGCUAGCAUGUCAACCAGGACAUUUCAGAGAAGCAUCGAAACGUGUUAGUAAACCUCUUACCAGAACACCCUCACUAUCGAUUUUUUUUUGUCACUAAAACACAAACCAGCAUGGGACAUUAAACAGGACCUUUGGUAUUUGGUGUUGGGAAAAUGCCCCCUUGGAUCUAGAGCUCUUUAGGAGUAAUGGCUUCCCGAAAAGAACUAUAGAGAAAAAGAAGGCAGAAUAACCCAGGUGCCUGAGCAUCUUUGAGGAGGUAAGGAAAACUCUUUACUCUUUGCUGUUUGUGAGCUCUGAAUCACCAAUUGUUUGCUAGUCAGGCUUCCCCAUUUGCCAGGAAGGAUCAAUAAUGUAAUUGGAAUGACCCUGCACUCAACUGUCCCUGCCUUCUGAUGCCCGCCUCCCCUCUCUGAUCAGAAGGCCUCCUCACUGGGGACACUGAAAGCUGAAUAGUUCAGGGACAGAGCGAGGCAUUACUGCAUUCCUGUCCAGUGAAAGGCAGACUCUCUGGAGAGCCUUUCCUCUGUUUUGUUUUGUGUGUUUUCAAGGAGUCUGGAGAGGGUGUUUAUGUCGUGGUGCACGUUCCCCAUUUGGCAUCUCGAUGGCGAAGCAGAGAGCUUUCUUGUUGUCCAUGUCCUCUGUGAUUUGAACUUGUGAUGAUUCUUCAGCUAGCUCUGUCCUUCAUCUAGAAAAUUAGUGUUGCAUUAUGAAGCCCAAAAGAGUUUUCCUAGCCACCACAUAGCAGUACGUAUAAUAACUUAAAUGUUCUACAGAAAAGGCAUUCCCCCAGCGUGGGUGAGUGGAAGAAUAGGCUCAUCAAGUUGUUCAGGCUUUGCAGAUUAGAGUUCCAGUUUCGUGAAAUCUCCCAUGGUUCAUACCUGGAAUCAGCUCCAAAACAUUUUCGAAAUUGGAACACUGAGCAUUCUCUAUGGGCUUGCAGUCAUUUCAAAAUAAUAUCCCUUAAUUAUGUGUCAUGGAUUGUUUGAUGAGUAUCUGCUGGGUUUGGCAUAUGUCAUUAGCCAUGAACAAUUGUACCUGGCUGUUUUUAAUUAUACCAGCUUUAUGCUUACAGUAGCCAUGGGAGGAAAACAAAAGAUUUUGCUGAGCGGGAGCAUUUUGCUUUUUAAAAAAUAUUUAUUUUGUUUUUGAUGCUCCUGCAGCCAAUCCACUCUUGCUAGGCAGUCCACUCUUCAGUUCAGUAUGGCCUUGAACUCAUGUCCCCCUGCCUUAGACUUUAGGGUGCUUGGGUCACACAUAUCUCCCUUUAAAGUUUUAUCUAUCUAUCUAUCUAUCUAUCUAUCUAUCUAUCUAUCUAUCUAUCUAUCUAUCUAUCUAUCUAUCUAUCUAUCUAUCAUACCUAUCUAUCUAUCUAUCUAUCUAUCUAUCUAUCUAUCUAUCCAACAUCUAUCUAUAUCUUAUCUAUCCCUAUCUACCUAUCUAUUUAUCUACCUAUUAUCUAUCAUCUAUCUACCUAUGCCCCCUCCUCCCCCUGAAAGAUUUUUUUCUUCUACAGCAGGCUAUGCUGCUCAGUCUAAUCCCCUACUUCUGCAUUUCCCCAUCCCUGGCUGCUGUUACUUUCUCCAUGAAAAAUUGUGAAAGGUCUAAGCCAAUUAAGAUCAUUUGAUUUCCUCGUCAGCAAUUGGUUCAAAGAUGUCCAUGUGACACAGUUCUACCCAAUGAGAUGUGAAAGAAGCUUGUCUGGCAUGUUUCUGGGAAUGGCUUCUUGGCUGAUGGAACUAGGUCCUUAGAAAAAUGAUCUCAGCCAGGCAGGCUGUGGUGGCACACUCCUCUAAUCUCACUGGGAGUGAGGGAGGUGGGAGAGGGGCAAGGGGCGAGGGGCAAGGGGCGAGGUGCAAGGGGCGAGGGGAGGAGAGGAUAGAGGGGAGAGGGGACAGGGGAGAGGGAGAGGGAGAGGGAGAGGGAGAGACUCUGCAUUUCCCACCCAAUAUCAAUCAGUACUGUCGAGGUCUAUGACAGUACUAACUGAGAGACUUAGCUUCUGAGAGGAACUAGUUGGUGACUACAGAGGGUACAGCUGAAAGAAGGACUCAACCGGGGUCUUUGGUCCUCCUUAG